CCACACCUUUUUUUGGGUGUGGUGACGGUACCUUUGUUAAGAAGCACCGGCUAACUACGUGCCAGCAGCCGCGGUAAUACGUAGGGUGCGAGCGUUGUCCGGAAUUACUGGGCGUAAAGAGCUCGUAGGUGGUUUGUUGCGUCGUCUGUGAAAUUCCGGGGCUUAACUUCGGGGUGGCAGGCGAUACGGGCAUAACUAGAGUGCUGUAGGGGAGACUGGAAUUCCUGGUGUAGCGGUGGAAUGCGCAGAUAUCAGGAGGAACACCGAUGGCGAAGGCAGGUCUCUGGGCAGUAACUGACGCUGAGGAGCGAAAGCAUGGGGAGCGAACAGGAUUAGAUACCCUGGUAGUCCAUGCUGUAAACGGUGGGCGUUAGGUGUGGGGACCGGUUUGGUUUCUGUGCCGUAGCUAACGCAUUAAGCGCCCCGCCUGGGGAGUACGGCCGCAAGGCUAAAACUCAAAGGAAUUGACGGGGGCCCGCACAAG
rnacentral:rRNA from 1 species